GACGUAGGGCGCGAGCGUUGUCCGGAUUUAUUGGGCGUAAAGAGCUCGUAGGCGGCUUGUCGCGUCGUUCGUGAAAACCCACGGCUCAACUGUGGGCUUGCGGGCGAUACGGGCAGGCUAGAGUUCGGUAGGGGAGACUGGAAUUCCUGGUGUAGCGGUGAAAUGCGCAGAUAUCAGGAGGAACACCAAUGGCGAAGGCAGCUCGCUGGGACGGUACUGACGCUGAGGCGCGAAAGCGUGGGGAGCAAACAGG
rnacentral:rRNA from 1 species